rnacentral:rRNA from 1 species
ACGACGCGGCGGCGUGCCUAACACAUCAAGUCGACGGAGAAUUCGAAGAGUUACUCAGAGAAAUUUUAGUGGCGGACGGGUGAGUAACGCGUGGGUAACCUACCCAUAAACCCGGGACAACCCUUGGAAACGAGGGCUAAUACCGGAUAAUCUUAGAACUUGGCAUCAAGGACUAAGGAAAGGUAGCCUCUGAAGAUGCUACCGAUUAUGGAUGGACCCGCGUCUGAUUAGCUAGUUGGUGGGGUAAAGGCCUACCAAGGCGAUGAUCAGUAGCCGGCCUGAGAGGGUGAACGGCCACACUGGGACUGAGACACGGCCCAGACUCCUACGGGAGGCAGCAGUGGGGAAUCUUCCGCAAUGGACGAAAGUCUGACGGAGCAACGCCGCGUGUAUGAUGAAGGUCUUCGGAUUGUAAAGUACUGUCUUUGGGGAAGAAUGUCAGGUUUGAAAAUAUUGAGCCUGAAUGACGGUACCCAAGGAGGAAGCCCCGGCUAACUACGUGCCAGCAGCCGCGGUAAUACGUAGGGGGCAAGCGUUGUCCGGAAUUAUUGGGCGUAAAGGGCGCGUAGGCGGAUGUUUAAGUCCGGUGUGAAAGAUCAGGGCUCAACCCUGAGAGUGCAUCGGAAACUGGGCAUCUUGAGGACAGGAGAGGAAAGUGGAAUUCCACGUGUAGCGGUGAAAUGCGUAGAUAUGUGGAGGAACACCAGUGGCGAAGGCGACUUUCUGGACUGUAACUGACGCUGAGGCGCGAAAGCGUGGGGAGCAAACAGGAUUAGAUACCCUGGUAGUCCACGCUGUAAACGAUGAGUGCUAGGUGUAGAGGGUAUCGACCCCUUCUGUGCCGCAGUAACACAAUAAGCACUCCGCC